AAAACAGAGGAAGAAUGGCAACAGAUGUUAGCUCAUGGCCAAUCUUCCUCACGAAAAAAAAAGGAUACAUACCACCUGGUCAAAUGAGAAGGCUAAGACAACAGAACUCUAUGAGUAAAAAAGAUAAUCACUGAGGAAUGAGGAAUUAUUAAGUAACAGGAAGUUAUCAAGGCAAAAACAUCCUGUAAGCAGUCAAGAUCUUAUAUCCCCAUAUUUCAGUAGAGCUCAGAACAAGAUUUACAAGAAACCAAGAGAACACACGUGAAGGAAGUAGAAGCAACUUCUAACGACAUGACAAUUAAAGGGAACCACAAAGUCCUUCUUGAGAGACCAGCUGUCCCCAUUUCAGGGCAUGAGGGAGCUUCUGCCAUCACUGGAGCCCUUUGUUACUGCUGUGUGGUCACUGCUUCUCUGCCGAAAGCCACCCCCACCCACGGUAUCUACUGCUGUAAUGGUCUCAAGCCACGCCCAGCACUGAAGCAGCCACGACAGUCCGCAGCGGCACCGGCACCGUAAGGUGGAUUUCGCUAGGGAGAAUAGGUGACAUCCAAUGUCAAGACUGAAACAUGCAGGGUCAAAGGAAACAUUCAACUUGAGAGAGAGAUCAAAUCACCUAGGAGUGAUAGGAUAUGCAAGUACUUUUUUAGUAGUGAAACCCAUUUUUUCAAAUGAACUUGGAAGAACCAUAUCAAGCAAAUAAUAGAUAAGGUCAUUGGUAAAGAAAACAAGUUAUUCCUAAGUUCAUGUAACAUGAACUUUACAAGGUCAAUAAGUGAGAACAAUGAGGUUAUUUUUAACAUAAAUAAUUCUAAAUGAAAGGUUUGUAGAUAGGAACAGUCUUAUAUCAGCCUUAAUACCCAAGUUCUAUGUUUUUUUAAAUUCAGAGUCAAGAAAUCAUGAAAGCAAAUUGUUCCAAAUUAGUGUUAAUAGCUUUCCUUUUAAUCUCAGGAUCCUCCUACAACUGACCCCCAAACUUGAAAAAGAAAUUAUAAGGAAUGUUUACUUCUAGGUUCAACCACUAGCAAUAACAACUACUAUGGUUAUCAUGAGUUGUUCAUCAAAAAUAAGGACAAGAAGUACCCACAAGUGACAAUAAGCAGCAAAACUAUCACAGAGCACUAUCACCUCUCGACCUGUUUUGUGUCCCUUGGUCAUUGCAUAACUCUCCCGUCAGCACACACGGAGCAGAUGCGCGGGGCUGGCACCUCCCGCAGUGGUGCACUGGCCAACAUGUGCAGGCCUGCAUUCUACAAAAGACCUGUGCACUGGAACCGUCUUCCUCAUCAAUGACACACUGACAUCAAGAAUCUGAACAAAGAUGGCAGACAGAGCUUUAUUCAGGUCUGUCCCCAAACCGGUUAACCUGGUAGCACAGAUCACCGUAUUAUUGAUCUCCAAUGCGUAAAAAUGUGGCAUCCACCACAUUUUGAACAUGCAUGCUGAGCUUUUUUAAAACGGUUAAAAACACAAACAAAAGGAAUUAAGUAAACAAAUCGCAGAACUCCUGAAACAUCUUUUACUAAUGAUCUACAGUAAGUUUGUCAGAGGUCAGCUCUGCGUAUUGAAGAGGUGGUGGUGACAAUGAGGGUGUAUGAAAGAGAAAACAACCGCCCUGUUGAGUAAUCUGUUUUAGAAAUUUGCCAUUGUAAAAUUAACUGCAAUGUUGCUAAGAAAAAUAUUUCUAAGAUCUUCUUGUUCUGUACACUGCUGUUCACUUAUAGUUGGAUGAAGCCCAUUAUCCUGACCUAUUUUUACUAUAACAAAUCAGAAAUAAACCUGGUUGAAAAAUCAAGGUUUCUUUUUAUCACUGGAGAAAUAGUCAUUUUUAUGGCACAUUUUGACUUUCUCCUGUCCUUUUUACCUUUACCUAAGAACGUUCACAUCCAUUUUUUCCCAAAGUAUAGGUUAUACAGAAUUAUAACUUCUGAUCUGCCGAUGUGGAUAAUGAAAGCACACUGCUUCUUCCUGGUGGUUAAGAGCAUGGAAUGUGCAGCCAGACCUGACUUCACUACCACCUGUGAAACCCUGGACAAGAUCCUUAACCUCCAUGCCUCAGUUUCCUCAUCUGUAAAAGAGAGAUAAUAACAGGACCUACCUCAUAGGGUUGUUAUAAGGAUUCAAGAAAAUGGUACAUAAGCAUUUAGGAAGCAUUCACUAUUACAUUUUAAAGAACAACUUAAAGGAGUCAAAAUGCUCCACGACUGAAUCGACUAACAAAUUAACUCAAUAAAUUUUCUGACAAAACUUCUAAAAAUGUUAGAUGUAUUCAAAACAAAACGAAUUUCAUUACACCAUGUACCAUUAUUUAGAGAAGUUGUUCCUUAAAAGCUCACAGGAGUAUCUCAGAACUACCUGAGAAUUAAGGAAAAUGAAGAACGACUUUCUUCACAGUUUAUAAGCAUAAAAUAAAACUGUUGGGACCGACUGGGUCAUGCCAAGCAAGAACGCGGUUCCUGUGUUCAGUUUCAACGACAGCUACAGACUUUGUUUAAAAUUUCUUUAAGCAGAAAAAAGAAAGAGGACGCUUAACUGCCUUAUUCCUGGAACAACAGAGCAAGACAGCAAGAUACAGGAGGAGCUGUGCAAGUAUUUUCCUUGGAGGGGACAGGGGGCAGCAGUUCGCAAGUUUACUGUGGGAUGCAAAGGACGGGGUAAGAGGACAUUUGAACAUACAAACACAAGCAUAAAAGAGGAGGGAAAUUCUUUCUUAGUUAUGGUGAGUUUGAUCUCCCAAUUUUUAAAACAAUGGCAUAAAAUUAAUCAAUAGAGCCUCUAAGGAACAGAAUGCAACAAAUGCUCCGGGUACCAAAGUUCCAUCUUCGAGCUUCGUGCGGUCGUAAAGUUUUAGACAAAUCAAUCCUUUAGUUUACGUUCACGUGUGAGCAACAAUCGGCACAAUGCUCCCACCGAAGGGCCGGUACGGGCCCUCAGAAAGAGAAACCAACCUGCCCGUUUGCAGAGACGCAGGGCAGUUUCUUCCAGGAGAGGCAGCAGGCAUGCUUGGACAGGGGGCAAAAGAAGGGCAGGAGGAGAACGGAGGGGAAACAAUGCUGGGCAUAUAGCAACUAGCAAAACAGACCAAGUCUUUUCCUCAUGGAGCUAACAUCCUACUUAGAAGUGCCGGCAGGAAAAAUCAGGAGAGCCCACAUUUCUUCAUCCCUGCUCUGACUUCUCCAUUCACCUCUGAGGAUCCAGCCAAGAUGUCCAAGUGUGGUGUGAGUUUUUGAGAACUCUGAGCCUGCAAGCAGCAGUUCCUAACCGAUUUCCAGGUCCUUUCAAAUCAAUACGUGUAUACUUUGCACACAACGUGGAACCAGGCAUGGAGAACCAAGGACUAGACCAGCGAGGAGCUCCCGAGCCCUCCGCAGAUGUAUUUAAGAUGUAAGUUCAGAUGAAGUCAUACAGGAGAAGGGUUGGCCCUUAAUUCACUGCGUGGCAUCCUUUUAAGAAGAGGAGAAUGAACACAGAGAUAGACAUGCACAGAGGGAAGGCAAUGUGAAGAGUCACAGGGAGAAGGCCAUGUGGCAACAGAGGCCGAGGUUGGAGCGAUGCAUCUACAAGCCAAGGAUUGCUGGCAAAUACCCGAAGCUGAAAGAAGCAAGGAAGAGUCUUCGUCUAGAGUUGUUGGAGGGAGCAGGGCCCCGCAGACACGUUGACUCUGGACUUCUAACCUCCAGAACUGGGAGAGCAUAAAUGUCAAUUGGUUCAAGCCACUCACUUUGUGAUACUUUGUUGUACCGCCCCAGGGAACUAAUACACCUGGGUUUCACAUGGUGGCUGAGAGGACCCACAGCCACUCCAGGAAAUCACCUCAGGAGCAUCUGGAAGCCGUGUGGUGGCCCUCUGAGGAAAAGUGCCUAGAGUGGAGUGGAAGGACACCAACAUGACAAGAGCCAAUAGGAGCCAAUAGGAGAUAGAUAUAUAUAUUACGGCUGGGGUUUUUUGGGUUUUUUGGGGUUUUUUUUGCUGAAAAAGAUUGUCCCUGGGCUAGCAUCUGUCGCCAAUC